UACGUAGGUGGCAAGCGUUGUCCGGAAUUAUUUGGGCGUAAAGCGCGCGCAGGCGGCCUCUUAAGUCUGAUGUGAAAGCCCCCGGCUCAACCGGGGAGGGCCAUUGGAAACUGGGAGGCUUGAGUAUAGGAGAGAAGAGUGGAAUUCCACGUGUAGCGGUGAAAUGCGUAGAGAUGUGGAGGAACACCAGUGGCGAAGGCGACUCUUUGGCCUAUAACUGACGCUGAGGCGCGAAAGCGUGGGGAGCAAACAGG
rnacentral:rRNA from 1 species